rnacentral:ncRNA from 1 species
UGGGGGCUCUGCGAUCUCCCCAUGAGGCGACAUGCCCAAGUAUCGC